rnacentral:lncRNA from 1 species
GAGAAACAUGAGGACAUUAGGCGAGUGAGCAGGAGCCCUGAAGGCGAUGGCAGGAAGAGGAAUUGCCAAGGUGAAUGGAGUCUGAGAACACUAGUUAUUGUAAGGGACAGAGUAUGUAAAAACACUGAAAAGCCCUUCAGCGGACAGUCACCAUUUUGGGACUUCCCACCCCGGUGAGAUCUGGGACUGGACAGCUCUGUUGUAGGGGGCUGUCCUGUGCAGCUUCACUGAGAUCGGGAAAUAACGGUGAGCCAGAUCCAUACUGUCCUGGUCUCGUGGAUCAAAGAUGAGCCCUGUUGAAGCCAUCUUGCUUAAAUAGUCCUUGGCCUCUUCCGCUGGAGUUGUGGAUUUAGAGUGAGAGGAUACGGAGCAGCUGACAUGGAGGCCUCAUCCAAUCCAGUCUAAGCCUUACUCAGUAAUUGCGGCCCCUGCCUGGACACUGGAGCUUUCAGCUGCUAACCCACCCCACACUAGGUAGGUGGGCUUCGAAGGCGGAGCUCCCCGGCGCCUCAAGGUUUUGUUAACACUGAGAAUUGAAAGACCCGGCGCACCAUAGGAAACAUGCAGGAUGCUUCAAGAUAGGAAACAUGCAGGAUGCUUCCAGACACAAGCUUGACAACGGUGCACAGGAGACUUCCUGCCGGUCCCCAACUGAAAAGAAUGGGAAUUGGCGACAGUUUACAGCUGACUUAUUUCUUAGACUUCAUUUCUAGAGUUACAUUUAGUCAACUUUUAACAAUGAUGAAAAAAACAAUACCACCUGUGUAGCCCUCAAAGAAUAAACCCAGAAGGCUUCCGU